rnacentral:rRNA from 1 species
UACGUAGGGGGCAAGCGUUGUCCGGAUUUACUGGGCGUAAAGAGCUCGUAGGCGGCUUGUCACGUCGGGUGUGAAAGACCGGGGCUUAACCCCGGUUCUGCAUUCGAUACGGGCUGGCUAGAGUGUGGUAGGGGAGAUCGGAAUUCCUGGUGUAGCAGUGAAAUGCGCAGAUAUCAGGAGGAACACCGGUGGCGAAGGCGGAUCUCUGGGCCAUUACUGACGCUGAGGAGCGAAAGCGUGGGGAGCGAACAGG